rnacentral:rRNA from 1 species
UACGUAGGGUGCAAGCGUUAAUCGGAAUUACUGGGCGUAAAGCGUGCGCAGGCGGUUGUGCAAGACAGAUGUGAAAUCCCCGGGCUUAACCUGGGAAUGGCAUUUGGGACUGCAAGGCUGGAGUGCGGCAGAGGAGACUGGAAUUCCUGGUGUAGCAGUGAAAUGCGUAGAUAUCAGGAGGAACACCAAUGGCGAAGGCAGCUCGCUGGAACGGUACUGACGCUGAGGCGCGAAAGCGUGGGGAGCGAACAGG